GCUGGGCGUGGUGGCACAUGCCUGUAAUCCCAGCUACUCAGGAAGCUGAGGCAGAAGAAUUGCUUGAACCCGGGAGGUGGAGGUUGCAGUGAGCUGAGAUCAUGCCACUGCACUCCAGCCUGGGCAACAGAGCAAGACUCUGUCUCAA
rnacentral:SRP_RNA from 1 species